rnacentral:rRNA from 1 species
GCCAAAGACAAACAUACCCUAAAGGCACCAGGUCCCAUUUGAUCUUAGAAGCUAAGCAGGGUCAACUCUGGUUAGUACUUGGAUGGGAGACUGUCAACAAAUAUCAGGUGCUGUAAGCU